GCCCAACUGAGCUUGGGUGGUCCUGAGUGCAGCCUUCAAAGCUGUAGUCGAUUAGCGUCGAAAUGGUUCGAUUCCAUCUGUUGGGCG